AACGCUAGCUACAGGCUUAACACAUGCAAGUCGAGGGGCAGCAUGAACUUAGCUUGCUAAGUUUGAUGGCGACCGGCGCACGGGUGAGUAACACGUAUCCAACCUUCCGUUUACUCAGGGAUAGCCUUUCGAAAGAAAGAUUAAUACCUGAUAGUAUGGUGAGAUUGCAUGAUGGCACCAUUAAAGAUUUAUUGGUAAACGAUGGGGAUGCGUUCCAUUAGGUAGUAGGCGGGGUAACGGCCCACCUAGCCGACGAUGGAUAGGGGUUCUGAGAGGAAGGUCCCCCACAUUGGAACUGAGACACGGUCCAAACUCCUACGGGAGGCAGCAGUGAGGAAUAUUGGUCAAUGGGCGAGAGCCUGAACCAGCCAAGUAGCGUGAAGGAUGAAGGUCCUACGGAUUGUAAACUUCUUUUAUACGGGAAUAAAGUAUCCUACGUGUAGGAUUUUGUAUGUACCGUAUGAAUAAGCAUCGGCUAACUCCGUGCCAGCAGCCGCGGUAAUACGGAGGAUGCGAGCGUUAUCCGGAUUUAUUGGGUUUAAAGGGAGCGCAGACGGGAGAUUAAGUCAGUUGUGAAAGUUUGCGGCUCAACCGUAAAAUUGCAGUUGAUACUGGUUUCCUUGAGUGCAGUUGAGGCAGGCGGAAUUCGUGGUGUAGCGGUGAAAUGCUUAGAUAUCACGAAGAACUCCGAUUG
rnacentral:rRNA from 1 species